UACGAAGGGGGCUAGCGUUGCUCGGAAUCACUGGGCGUAAAGGGCGCGUAGGCGGCUGUUCAAGUCGGGGGUGAAAGCCUGUGGCUCAACCACAGAAUUGCCUUCGAUACUGGUUGGCUUGAGACCGGAAGAGGUAAGUGGAACUGCGAGUGUAGAGGUGAAAUUCGUAGAUAUUCGCAAGAACACCAGUGGCGAAGGCGGCUUACUGGUCCGGUUCUGACGCUGAGGCGCGAAAGCGUGGGGAGCAAACAGG
rnacentral:rRNA from 1 species